rnacentral:lncRNA from 1 species
UUAACAAAGCGUCAUAAAAUUAUUUUUAAAAAUAUUAAAAAAAAAUUAAUUUUUUUAAAACUAAAACAAACAGAUUUUUGCUUCUGAGCCAUCAUCUUACAAAUUCAAGAGUUAAUAAAAAUAGGAAAAUUAAAGAAAAAGCUUGAGUGUCAUUACAAUAACUAAUUAAAAGAUCUUAAAUAUUCAAUCGUAUAUUUUAUACUCUCCCAGAUCUGAUACUCGUAGAAUCAGAAAUGUUUUGUACUUUCUUCACACUUGUUACCAAUGCACUUAAUAACAUAAAACACGUUAUCACUUUGUGGACAAUCUUCAUCAGCUUCACAAAUAUCUUCUAUAAUGAAACAAAAAAAAGAAUAAUAUGAUGUUAUUAUGAGAUGAUAAAAGACUGUGUGCAAACUACGAAACAAAGAAUGAAUUCUGAAAAGAAAAAAUGGCUCACCACUUCCAACUUUCAUAGUGACAAGGAACAAGGAAAGGUAAAGAAUCAUAGAACAAACAAACUUUAUAAUUUUAGCCAUAUUUUUCUCCAUUGCAUUGUAAAAAACUGAAUGUUAGCUCUUUAUAGUCACAAAGUUCAUGCUUAUCUAUAAAAAAAAUAUAGUUUUUAACACUUAUGAAGCAGUAAAAACCUUUC